rnacentral:rRNA from 1 species
AGUUCGGAUUGCAGGCUGNAACCCGCCUGUAUGAAGUUGGAAUCGCUAGUAAUCGCGGAUCAGCAUGCCGCGGUGAAUACGUUCCCGGGCCUUGUACACACCGCCCGUCACACCAUGAGAGUCGGGAACACCCGAAGUCCGUAGCCUAACCGCAAGGAGGGCGCGGCCGAAGGUGGGUUCGAUAAUUGGGGUGAAGUCGUAACAAGGUAAC